GGGAGACAGAUUCAGACCACAGCAGAUGUCAAGGCUGGUUCAAAGGACAAUGUGAAGAACAAAGGCAUGCUGAAAUGAAUUUGAUAAUAGAUGCAAACUUGGGUAACAUCCUACAGGACAAUAAGGUAAGAAAGAAUUCGACUGAGGGGCAUGAGGCAGAAAGAGAGAUCGGAGCCAGUUUCAGAACAGGAGUGAAAGUUUAUUAAAAGGCUUUAGAACAUGAAUGAAAGGAAGGAAAGGAUACUUGGAGAAGGACCAAGCAGGCAUCUUGAAAGAAACUUCAAACGGCCUGGAUGGCCAUCCGCAGGUGCCCACCUGAGCAAGUGUGGCCCAUGCGCCCUGGGACUCACUGCCCCGCUGUCAGAGAGUAUGCGCUGCAGCUUCACGCCACAGCAGGCAUGGCCUCCGAAAUAGUGCCUGACAUGGAAGAAGCCAGAUGACACUGCAAGACUUCAUGGAUAGGAAAUUUCUGGGAGAGGCAAAACGGUAGAGACAAAAAGUAGAUCCGUGGUUCCCUGAGGAUGCGGGUGGGGAUUGACUGCCAGGGGUACAGUGAAGCUUUCUGGACUGAUGUGGCUGCCUUAGAACUGGAUUUUGGUGAUGGUUGCUUAAUUAUACGUUUACUAAAAGCCAUCCAAUGCCAUCUUUACCAUGGGUCAACUGUAUAUUCAUUAUAAUCCUAUAAAGCUGCUUUUAAUAAAAUCAUUGUCCA
rnacentral:lncRNA from 1 species